AUGGGAACGCGAAGAACCUUACCUAGACUUGACAUCCCCUGAAUAACGUAGAGAUACGCGAAGCCCUUCGGGGCAGGGAGACAGGUGGUGCAUGGUUGUCGUCAGCUCGUGUCGUGAGAUGUUGGGUUAAGUCCCGCAACGAGCGCAACCCUUAUCAUUAGUUGCUACCAUUUAGUUGAGCACUCUAGUGAGACUGCCCGGGUUAACCGGGAGGAAGGUGGGGAUGACGUCAAAUCAUCAUGCCCCUUAUGUCUGGGGCUACACACGUGCUACAAUGGUGGGAACAAAGAGAUGCAAGACCGCGAGGUGGAGCCAAACUCAAAAACCCAUCCCAGUUCGGAUUGUAGGCUGAAACUCGCCUACAUGAAGCUGGAGUUGCUAGUAAUCGCGAAUCAGAAUGUCGCGGUGAAUACGUUCCCGGGUCUUGUACACACCG
rnacentral:rRNA from 1 species